rnacentral:lncRNA from 1 species
UAAAAAAUAAGGGCCUAAUUGAUCUUUAUUAGAAAAAUAAUCUAUACUUUAGAAAAUUAUUCAUGAAAGUCUUUAAAAAAAACUAAAAUUAGAAAAUGAUAAUUAAAGAAAUAAUUGUGGGCUUAAAUAAAUUAUACUUGCUAUUAAAAGAUUAACUAAGUCAAAAGCCCAAUAGAUUAAAAUCAAAUAGGGCUCAAGCCCAUUUCCACCUCUUCACCCUAAUUUAU